GCAACCUUGAUUAAUCCGUAGGUGAACAGCGGAGGGAUCAUUACACAAAUAUGAAGGCGGGCUGGAACCUCUCGGGGUUACAGCCUUGCUGAAUUAUUCACCCUUGUCUUUUGCGUACUUCUUGUUUCCUUGGUGGGUUCGCCCACCACUAGGACAAACAUAAACCUUUUGUAAUUGCAAUCAGCGUCAGUAACAAAUUAAUAAUUACAACUUUCAACAACGGAUCUCUUGGUUCUGGCAUCGAUGAAGAACGCAGCGAAAUGCGAUAAGUAGUGUGAAUUGCAGAAUUCAGUGAAUCAUCGAAUCUUUGAACGCACAUUGCGCCCUUUGGUAUUCCAAAGGGCAUGCCUGUUCGAGCGUCAUUUGUACCCUCAAGCUUUGCUUGGUGUUGGGCGUCUUGUCUCUAGCUUUGCUGGAGACUCGCCUUAAAGUAAUUGGCAGCCGGCCUACUGGUUUCGGAGCGCAGCACAAGUCGCACUCUCUAUCAGCAAAGGUCUAGCAUCCAUUAAGCCUUUUUUUCAACUUUUGACCUCGGAUCAGGUAGGGAUACCCGCUGAACUUAAGCAUAUCAAUAAGCGGAGGA
rnacentral:rRNA from 1 species